AAUAUGUAUCUUAAUUUUUUUAACUUCAUGAAAUUAAAUGAAUUUAUUUGGAUGCAGUUUGUUGAAAUUUAAAAUUAAUAUAGCUAAUCAGUUCUCAAUUUUUUGAAUUUGUUCUUCAUCUGGUUAGAAUUAUUUUAGAAUUCUAAAAUAUUGGUCGAUCUACCAUAAUUUUUUUUCUUUCAAACGAAUGAAGUGGCUUUAGAAUUAAAGAAAUAACUAAUGAGAAUUUUAAAUAAUUUAAGGUGGCUUCUUUAGGAAUUUAAAUGAGGUGUUACUUUAUUUAGUUUCAAUAUGUGUGUAUGUUUGAAUUCCUUAAGAGGCUUUGCAGAAUAAAAGGACAUCUAUUUAGUAUUUUAGGGGCUUUAAAUUACUUUAUUGUAAGCUUUAAACUACAUAUGUGAAUUAAGUGAUGAUUUUGAAGUUUAAUUCUGCAAACUAAGAUCAAGGAGAAGCUAGUGGAAGGUGAAAACAAGAUCAAGUGCAAAAUGAGGACUUUAAUUGUAAGUUCUGGAGAAAACUUAUGCUGGGGAGGCUUACCCUUUAGAAGCAGUGCAAGGGAGUUAUUUUGAUCAUACUUUCGAGUAUUGGGCUUUUUCUUAUUGGAAAAAGGAGAAGUUAAUGGAUCCAUGAAGAAAGUGGGUGAACAUUUUUUUGAAUCAGCCAAAAUUAAACCCUAAGAAUGGAAGAAAUUCUGCAACAACAGGGUAUUACUUUGGCUUACUAUUUCCUAUGCUUCCAUAUAUACUAUGUGAUGAUAUAAAUUAUGUAUAGAACAAUUCUAUCAUUUCUAUGUCUUACAUUAUCAAGUAUGAGGAAAUUGAAAAUUCUGCAUUACUCGAGUGACUAUUACUGAAAACCCUUGAGGAUUCUGUGAUCUUGUUCUUUAUUUAAAAAGCAAUUAGCAUGUAUGUUUAGUCACUUAAUUUUUUCCAGCAAUUCAGCUGUAGGUAACUUGAGAAAUCAACAUAGAGUCAUAGACUUCUACAACUUAUCUUUAGUUUCUUAUGUUCCAACUUAUGAUUAAGGUAUCAUUGUUUAGACAAUACUUAGCAACAGAUGAUUAGAAGGCACUAAUCCUAUCUAAAGAAGACCAUAAUGUCAUCUGUAAAGGUAAUAAUUUUAAUGUAAUUAUGAUAUGAGUUGUGAAUGUUGUUGUUCCAUUUUAUCAGUGAAAUUUUUUGUAAAUUGUUAUAGUUACUUCCAUUGCAUUCCAUUCCAUUUUCUCAUCAAAUACUUCAUCCUUACAUUUAUUGAUAUGCUAUUCAUUUCGAAUUGGAUGAUGAUGCCAAUGGGUCAUGUAACAAUUCAUCUUAGUUCUCUUUUCCUUUAAUGUAUUUUAUUUAUUUAUUUAUUUUGCAUUAUGUGUUUAUCAUUGAGUAGAGGAAGAUGGUCAGUAUUUAUUACGUGCUUUCUGUAUAAAGCAUAUGGUUUUCUCUUUGUUUUUAAUUUUCUUUCUUAGCACGUAUAUAUGUUUUUUUAUUUUUUAUUUUUUAUUUCUAACAAGUUCUUUAUGUUUGCUGUCAUAAUAUUUUAAUCUGGCAGUCAUUCUUAAAAUUCCAUUCAUUCUUAUGAUUGGGAGUACCACAAUGAGCAGCACUGAAGCAUUAAAAGCAGGAUUAUGUGAAAAGGCAUUAAUAGUAACUCAUUAUUAUCUUGAUUUGCGAUGGCCAGCAUUAGCACUUUAAUUAAGCUUCGAUGCUUCUAUAGGCAGCCAUCACUAUGUGGAAACUUAGUGUAUAGUGUGCAUAAUUUAAUUAUAAGAUUUUCUUCCUAAAAUUUAUGCAGUUACAUUUGGUUUAGACAAUUCUUAGGCCUGUUAUAGAACUUCAACGAAACUACUUGGAUUAUUAUGCUGAAAAUAGAGAAGAGAAAAUGCUUAUUCCACAGGCUGUUAUUUCUUUCCUCAGGAAUAUCCGCAGGAUCAUGUGUUUUCUCUAUAGGGAAUGGAGUAUGUGCUGCAUGGAGUCAUUGCUUUGGGGAUAAUGGCUGCUGGUGGUGUGCUCUCAGGAGGGAAUCCAGCAUCACAUGUUUUACAGAUUAAGAAGCAAGGUGAUUCUGCUGAUGCCAAAUUAGUUGUCACACUUUAAAUUAUGACAAGAUGAUUGUUUUAAGUAUAAUUAUGUAAUUCCUUUUUUUGUUAAACAAAAUUUUGGCAAUUGUCUAAAGCAUGAUUUUUUUUAAGAUUCAA